UACAGAGGGGGCAAGCGUUAUUCGGAAUUAUUGGGCGUAAAGGGCGCGUAGGCGGCCUGGCAAGUGACGGGUGAAAGCCCUCGGCUCAACCGAGGAACUGCCUGUCAUACUGCCGGGCUUGAGUCCGGGAGAGGUGAGUGGAAUUCCCAGUGUAGCGGUGAAAUGCGUAGAUAUUGGGAGGAACACCAGUGGCGAAGGCGGCUCACUGGUCCGGUACUGACGCUGAGGUGCGAAAGCGUGGGGAGCAAACAGG
rnacentral:rRNA from 1 species